rnacentral:lncRNA from 1 species
GCGCUGAAAAGGCCAAUUUCUCCCAGCAUCUAAACAAGCUCCUUCUUCAGUGUCACUUAGCUAAUUCAGCUCAUCCAUUUCCAGGUUAGCGUCACUUAUCUCACUCUGCUCAUCCUUAGUAACCUUAGCUGGUUUCAGCUCAACUUCAGUCUCCUUAGCUGGUUUCAGCUCAGUAUGCUCGCUUUUCAUCCAUCAUGGUUUGUCCUUUGUUGGAUAAUCAGCUGGCUCAGCCAUGGUUACAUCAUUUAGUCUCCCUCAACUAUACAUACACACUAAAUCCUCCUAGACUAGUAAGCACUCCC